rnacentral:lncRNA from 1 species
GGGGUUACACCGGAGUACGACCUCCUCGACGGCUUGACGGACUCCUACAACCUCGACUUCGGGCGCGGGACCUUCAGGAAGGAGGCCGACUUCACCACGGACGACAUGAUCCUUGGCAAGAAGCUCGUGAGCGUGUGAGCCGAUCUGAGGCGUGCAUGGACGGACACAUGGCUCAUGGCAGCGCAAAGCGUGUGGCGACUGUGCCUGUGCGGGUGCAUAUGUAGCACAGGGAAGACGAUCUCAGUUUUGGGAUAUAAGGUUCACUCAUCUGAUGAAAUGUACUGCUGACACCUAAUUCUCUCCUCG